rnacentral:rRNA from 1 species
GACGAACGCUGGCGGCGUGCUUAACACAUGCGAGUCGAACGGAAAGGCCCUGCUUUUGUGGGGUGCUCGAGUGGCGAACGGGUGAGUAACACGUGAGUAACCUGCCCUUGACUUUGGGAUAACUUCAGGAAACUGGGGCUAAUACCGGAUAGGAGCUCCUGCUGCAUGGGGGGGGUUGGAAAGUUUCGGCGGUUGGGGAUGGACUCGCGGCUUAUCAGCUUGUUGGUGGGGUAGUGGCUUACCAAGGCUUUGACGGGUAGCCGGCCUGAGAGGGUGACCGGCCACAUUGGGACUGCGAUACGGCCCAGACUCCUACGUGAGGCAGCAGUGGGGAAUAUUGCACAAUGGGCGGAAGCCUGAUGCAGCAACGCCGCGUGCGGGAUGACGGCCUUCGGGUUGUAAACCGCUUUCGCCUGUGACGAAGCGUGAGUGACGGUAAUGGGUAAAGAAGCACCGGCUAACUACGUG